UACGGAGGGUGCAAGCGUUGUCCGGAUUUAUUGGGUUUAAAGGGUGCGUAGGCGGCCCGUUAAGUCAGUGGUGAAAGCCUCCAGCUCAACUGGAGAACUGCCAUUGAUACUGGCGGGCUUGAGUACAGACGAGGUAGGCGGAAUUGAUUGUGUAGCGGUGAAAUGCAUAGAUAUCUGGAGGAACACCGGUGGCGAAGGCGGCGUUCUGGACUGCAACUGACACUGAGAGACGAAAGCCAGGGGAGCAAACGGG
rnacentral:rRNA from 1 species